rnacentral:rRNA from 1 species
UCCAAGGAAGGCAGCAGGCGCGCAAAUUACCCACUCCCGGCACGGGGAGGUAGUGACGAAAAAUAACAAUACGGGACUCUUUUGAGGCCCCGUAAUNGGAAYGAGAACACUCUNAAUCCUUUAACGAGGAUCCAUNGGAGGGCAAGUCUGGUGCCAGCAGCCGCGGUAAUUCCAGCUCCAAUAGCGUAUAUUAAAGUUGUUGCGGUUAAAAAGCUCGUAGUUGGAUCUCAGUUCGAGGCUGGCGGUCCAUCAUUCGGUGGCUACUGCUAGUACUCAACAUCCUGCCGGUUUUCCCUUGGUGCUCUUCAUUGAGUGUCUCGGGUGCCCGGCACGUUUACUUUGAAAAAAUUAGAGUGCUCAAAGCAGGCGUUUCGCCUGAAUAAUGGUGCAUGGAAUAAUGAAAUAGGAUCUCGGUUCUAUUUUGUUGGUUUUCGGAACACGAGGUAAUGAUUAAAAGGGACAGACGGGGGCAUUCGUAUUGCGACGCUAGAGGUGAAAUUCUUGGACCGUCGCAAGACGAACUACUGCGAAAGCAUUUGCCAAGAAUGUUUUCAUUAAUCAAGAACGAAAGUUAGAGGUUCGAAGGCGAUCAGAUACCGCCCUAGUUCUAACCAUAAACGAUGCCAACCAGCAAUCCGCCUGAGUUCCUCAAAUGACUCGGCGGGCAGCUUCCGGGAAACCAAAGUGUUUGGGUUCCGGGGGAAGUAUGGUUGCAAAGCUGAAACUUAAAGGAAUUGACGGAAGGGCACCACCAGGAGUGGAGCCUGCGGCUUAAUUUGACUCAACNCGGGAARACUUACCCGGCCCGGACACCGGAAGGAUUGACAGAUUAAGAGCUCUUUCUUGAUUCGGUGGGUGGUGGUGCAUGGCCNUUCUUAGUUGGUGGAGCGAUUUGUCUGG